rnacentral:misc_RNA from 1 species
AACGCACAUUGCGCCCUUUGGUAUUCCGAGGGGCAUGCCUGUUCGAGCGUCAUUAUCAACCCUCAAGCCUGGCUUGUUGUUGGGUUUUUUAUCGUUUAAAAAACGAUAGACCCGAAAGAUAAUGGCGGUGUUAAAUUUGACCCCAGGUGCAGCGAGCUUUAAGCAUACACUGAGGUGGUCAAGUUUAGCCUGGCCUAGUUAAAUAUCUUAACUGUAAGGUUGACCUCGGAUCAGGUAGGAAUACCCGCUGAACUUAA